rfam:Echinostoma caproni strain Egypt genome assembly, scaffold: ECPE_contig0006253
GCACGCUGACGAGUCCCAAACAGGACGAAACAGCUGUCCAGUGC